GGCGAACGGGUGAGUAAUAUAUUAAUAAUAUACUUUAUAGUGGGGGAUAAUUUAAUGAAAAUUAAACUAAUACCGCAUGAUAUCUAUGGAUUAAAGAGGGGGAUUUUUUAAAAAACCUCUUGCUAUAAAAUUAGUUAAUAUCUGAUUAGUUAGUUGGUUUUAGGGUAAAAGCCUACCAAGACUAUGAUCAGUAGCUGUUCUGAGAGGAUGAUCAGCCACACUGGGACUGAGACACGGCCCAG
rnacentral:rRNA from 1 species